UUGACUUGCCCGCAUUUCCUCCCGGCUGGCGGGGUCUGGGUGGCCAGCACCGUCUCCCUCCAGCCCCCGCUUUAACUCCUCGCCAGGUUUGGCACCUCCCCCGGGCGCCGGCAUUAUCUCCAAGGGGAAGCAGCCGUGCUUAAUUACGUUUCCUUUUAACAGUGAACAUCUGCUGGGCAGCUCGCCUUGGAGGAGGAAGCAGAGCGAGGAAAACCCACGCCUGGGACGCUAGGAGGAGGGAACCUGCAGGUGGGGGCCAGGGCGCCUGGAGCUGCGCGACUUUCUGCUUCUGCGUCACCUCCACCUGGAACCCACAGAUUCCACUGGCAGCUGAGGAGAAAGCAGUGAAAACGGGGCGGGGGGGGAUCUUCCAGAAGACCAAGGGUGUCCCUACGAUGUAGACUCUGUCAUCUUGCCCUUGGCUUCUUAGUGGGGCAACCGCAUCAGGCGGAGAACAUACACCCUCCAAUUUUCAAGGAUGACCCUAUUUGCAGAAAAGACGACGCUCUGCUUGUGUGCGUUUGAUAACAGCGCAUUCAAGUCUUCUCAGAAGGUGCAAGAGGCCUGGAUGACUUCCGUUGACAUUCUGAACUUACUUUUGAAAUGAAAGCAUGCAAAAACAGCUCCAAUAUACUUAGAGCUUCAUUGGGGUGUAUUUUGAAGGUCCUUUAAUAAGCCAGUGCUCUAGGCAUGCAUGCGCCUGUAAUACAACUGCUGCAUGUGUAAGCUCAUCUGGAGUUAAUGCCAAAAGGCCAUAUUUGAGACCCCUGAUACCACGAUGCCAGAAACAAAUGUCCCUUCUGCUCCUCUCCCCCCCAUGGGCUCUAUGCCUGCAAACACCCAGGAAUGGGAGAGAAAGUUCGGGGGGGGGGGCGCUUGGAAUUAAGCCUGUGCCAGGGGUCGAAAGCUCUAAAGAAAUUCUACUUAACUAGGUUCAGGUUGAGACCCAGUUUGGAUGUUUCACUCUCUUCGUGCCUCCUCACCCACUCUGUAAGCAGAAAAAUGUUGAAAGAAGCUAUAAGGAGAACAAAGAUAAAAAUAGAGUUGUUAAGAAGAAAGAUGCCCAACAAUCGGGAGGUGGGAAUGCAUUCUGCGUGCACCCCAAAGAGUUUCCUUCCUGCCCCUCUCUCUCUCCCCCUCCCUCCCCUCCAUCCUGAGUUGGAAUCAAAAUGCUUCAGCAGGCAGUUGGCAAAGAACGGCAUUCAUCCCAAACAAAUACUUUAGUUUUUCCUGUUUGGUGUAUAUUACAGCUUUGGAAUCCCAUGCCUCAUCCACAUUUCCAUGUGGCUUCUCUUUAUGCAGAAACAGAACGGAUACAGCUUUAAAUGCAUGGCUGAGAUGUCAUGGCUCAUGCUCUCCAUACCUGCUAACUAGAAAAGAAAGGAAAAAAAAAGUCUAUCCACCACACCCUCCCCGGGGAAUCAUGUGCAGAGAAAACCAUCAGGAUUGCGUGCUGCUUGGCUCUCUAUCCUUCAGCUGUGUGAACAGCUCCUCCCCUGACACACUUGCCUGUCUUUGAACCUGCCUGGAUGGAUGAGCUCAUUAGCCAGCCACCCCAGGGGCCCUGUCUGUUGGCUGUUCUCCCAGAUGCUAGUUCCUUUUCCCGCGCCACCCAGCAGCCCUCACUGCCAAGGUCGAAAGGCCCUCCCUGGGUGGUGCAGCGAGCCCUCCCCUUGUGCAUCCGUCCCCUUCCUGGGGGAGAACGUGGGAGGGGCGGUCGGGAGUGUCAUUCCUGGCAUCCAGCUGACCCUGCAGUGUUCACAAAGGCCACCCU